rnacentral:lncRNA from 1 species
CACCGGAGAAGACGGUGGUUUCCACCAUCGUCCCCACGUGGUUGAACCUAGGCCCUUGGGUGAGGUUCCCACGAUCUAAUCUCAGCCAUGCUUUCAUUUGACUUUUUUUAAUUCACGAUAUUUUGCGCUUGACUCAUGACAAUGGUACGUGCGCGCCUCAGAGCCUUUGGAUUUGUCCACGUCAAUUAAUGAAGUGGAUCCAAGCGCUGAUGAUUU